GGACAGGUGGCCGAGUGGUCUAUGGCGCCCGCUUGGAAAGCGUGUUUACGGGAAACCGUAACGUGGGUUCGAAUCCCACCCUGUCCGCCA
rnacentral:tRNA from 1 species